rnacentral:rRNA from 1 species
AACAACUCACCUGCCGAAUGAAUUAGCCCUGAAAAUGGAUGGCGCUUAAGCGGGUGGCCGACACCACACCGUCUGGUAAAUGUUUGUGAUCAGAUGAGUAGGAGGGCGUGGCGGGUGUGUCGAAGCGUGCAUGCAGAUGCGCGUGGAACAGCCGCUAGUGCAGAUCUUGGUGGUAGUAGCAAGUAUUCAAGCGAGAUCCUUGAAGGGCGAAGCGGGGAAGGGUUCCACGCGAACAUUGAUUGGGCGUGGGUGAGUCGUUCCUAAGCCGAGUGGCAAUUGCUAAGUAGCGGCGAAAGGGAAGCGGGUUUACAUUCCCGCACACGGAUGUGGAGGCGGUGACGCGCAUUGGGGCGAACACGCUGGCGACGGCGCUGGGCAGAGUUGUCUUUUCUGUUUGACCUACUUAGCGUGCUGUGUGGAAUCCGCUUGUCGGGAGAAACACGCGCGUUGGGGCAGAGCGCCGGGGCUUUUCCGGCGUCCAGCUCGCCGUCGACGGCCCUUGAAACUUUGCCUGCUGGAAUUUCUUGUAAAUUUAAGAUCCACGCCGUGGCGUACCGAUCACCGCAUCAGGUCCCCAAGGUGAACAGCCUCUGCUCAGUAUGAAAAAU